rnacentral:rRNA from 1 species
UACGUAGGGUGCAAGCGUUGUCCGGAAUUAUUGGGCGUAAAGAGCUCGUAGGCGGUUUGUCGCGUCUGCUGUGAAAACGCAAGGCUCAACCUUGCGCCUGCAGUGGGUACGGGCAGACUAGAGUGUGGUAGGGGAGAUUGGAAUUCCUGGUGUAGCGGUGGAAUGCGCAGAUAUCAGGAGGAACACCGAUGGCGAAGGCAGAUCUCUGGGCCAUUACUGACGCUGAGGAGCGAAAGCGUGGGGAGCGAACAGG